GCUAUGAUGACAUUCUUUCAACUGAUCUCCAAGUUGAUGUUCAGUUCUCUAAGAAGUUCUGAGCCU